rnacentral:tRNA from 1 species
CUGGCGUUAGCACAGUUGGAUAGUGCAACAGCCUUCUAAGCUGUAGGUCACUGGUUCGAAUCCAGUACGCCAGGCCA